UUGUCCUGCAUGUGGAUGCAAGUGAUGUAGGUGCAGGUGCUGUCUUAUUUCAACAAGAUGAUGAUGGAGUUGAUCGACCUUUUCUUAUAGGCUUUUCCAGUGGCUAGGGUGGCUGAGCUAUUGAGGUGGGGAUUGAAUGGGUGAUUGUGGUAAGACUGCAAAGUCCAUUAGUAUUGCAAUUGUCACCUAGUUGUUAGUAUAAAUCGCUGUCUUUUUGGAGUCCCGGUUAGGACUCCAUUUGUAUGGGGGGGAGUGUGACAAUCCCCUUCUGUCCAGUAGGUGUCUCUAGUCCUCUACAUGUUUGUUCUUGUUUUUUUUCAGGAAGCAGGUAGAUGGACUGUUAAUUGCACACACCGGUGAAUGAUAAAAGGGGACGACUAGUCAGUCACUCGCUCUGCUUGUUUGCCCUCCGGACCAGGCCGGAACGAGCAGCAUUGGUCCACACUUCUCUCCGACUGGCUGGCCUGAUCUCACGGAGCGUAUUUUUGUAAUCAAUAAAUCGUUGUUGCUAUGGA